rnacentral:tRNA from 1 species
GCCCCCGUAGCUCAAUUGGAUAGAGCCUUGCUUUCGUAGGUCAAGGGUUGCGGGUUCAAGUCCCGCCGGGGAUG